UUAAAUAUAUAUAUAUAUAUAUAGCAAAACUUGAUUAUAACUUAAUUGCAUAAAAUUGCGCACUUAAAUGUGCUUACAUGCAAACAGUUGUACUUACAACAAUAAUACGCUUUCACUUUGAAUCGAUAAUUCUGCAUCUUCGAUUUUGUUUGAUAUAUGCAAGGAUUAAUUUUCCUCCUUCUUUCUAUAUAAACAUAAAUAAACAAAGAUAUGUUGUCGUACCAGCGCACGUCGGGCAGCAUUGACCAGGCAUCGGUGGCUGUUCCACGGUCGCGCAAGGGACUAUCGGACAGGGCAUCGUGUCGCAUCGCGCCAAGCCGCGAUAGCAAUGACACAUCGAACAGGGAUCCGAGCUCGACGUCCAUUGCGUGCCUUCCUCGUAGAAUCUGGUCUCGUGAAAGCACGCGCCGGCCUCGAAAUCCUCCAACCUACCGGCACCGGGCAGGUACAUCACGGAGGCGAUGUCAUUGUCGGCGUAAUGCGGCAAACAGCUAAACGGCGCCCUAGCUUUGAAGGGAGCCUUUAAGACAGCUCCAUCGAUGACAGUCCGGUGACGGAACCCUCCAAAGAGUAUCCUGUAAAUUCUUCGAGAAGUCUCCUGGCAACGGGAGCACCUUGCGCCAACAGAGGCAUCGUUUCCAGAUACAAACGGAAGGUCCGUGGUUCUUGAGAAGAGGCGGGAAACCCAGCGAGCUCCAACUCGUAAUGCAGGGAACAAUCCAGAUCUAUCGCGAUCCAUAUCAAACCGACCGGUCCGGGAUAUAUCGGUUCUUUGGUCGAUCGGCGCAGCAAUAUGGGCGCAGCGGUGUCUCUAGCGUCUGCCACGGGUCUUUCCAAGAGUCUGCCGCGCAACACGGAGCCGAGGUGACUCGCAGCGACUACGGAGAGGUCCUCGUUGAAGAGCGGUUGUAGGAGUCUCGGUCCGGGCCGUUCCAAGGAACCGUUCGCGAGACCGUUGAUCAACGAGGGCGUCAGAUCCUCGAGUUCCGUUCUUCGUUUCCCACCCUCGUCCACCAACGUUACCAAGGGACUCUCCUCCUCGAGUCCUAUCAACUGAACUCCGUAACGUAGCGCUCCGAUACGAUCCAGGAAGGCCCAGACCAAUCCGGACGCCACGGACGGCGUCUCCGACAACAGGAGGGUCUGAUAUAUAUCGCAAGUCGCGCGCGGACCAACCGUGCCAACUAGACGAAGAGCCUGCGGAUCUUUGCGAGACAUUAUACUGAUCGACAACUUGCCACGGGUCAACAAACGGAGAUCGGUGCCGGAGAGCGCGCUGCGAAUCUCACCGAAAUUCAGUUCGUUGGACGGCUUCUUCACCACUAUCUCCUCGGUAAGGACCACGUAAUCCUUCUCCUGAUGUUCCAGCUUAACGAUCAGCGGAACGUCGGCCACGUCGUUCGGCAGGAAGAGACCGUUGAAGACGAGCGACACGUGGAUCGAGGGGGUCGAGGCGGAUGAGGUGGCGACGAUCGCCGUCGCGCCUGCACCCGACAUCAACGAUCGAUCGACGCCCAUCGUCGGUUCUAGCAGCGAGGAGAACUGCUCGCUCGACAACGCGCGGUAUCGAGACACCUGACCGGUCAGACUCGACGAGGGUUCCCAGAUGAAGGAGACGUGCAGACGUUCCUCGCGCAGUAAUUUACGAUAGUCGCGCGGCACCCGCCUCCAGACGCCGCAAAGCUUGCCGGUGGCGUUUUGGUAGGCGCCACCGAUCGGAUCGAUCGCCUGUUCUUCGAGGAUGCUGCCGAAUCCAUCGACGAACUGUAUGUUGCGCGGCCGAGGCGUCGAUGCGGACAGAUAGAACGAGUAGUAGAGAUUUUUGCGGUGGAAGCUGAAGCGACCGGUUGCUAGAUAGUUGUACGCGCCGUUGUACGCCGUUGGAUUCGAAUUGUCGCGACGCAGAGAUUGCGACGUUCUGCCCGUUAACAGGGUGCCGAAAUCUGUAAUUGCAAAAUGCAUCGUUAAUCGUAAUUUCAGUCACUGUCGUGUCCAUGAGCCCGUUUCAAAUAAUUAGUAUACAAUCGAAUCUUACGUUUCAAGCUUCGUUCUUCCUCCUCCAAAGUCAACUGCGCCGGCAAAUCUUGCGCUAUGUCUAUAUCUGUAACACAAAAGAUUUUUUUUUUUUUCGUAAAUAUAUACGCGUGUCGUUAUCGUUAUUUUAUUACUCGAUGCAAUCUUUUUCUUUUCGUACAAAAGGUUCAAAUCGAUCGGAAAUUUUUGCACUCUCUUUCGUCUUUUUCGUUUGAAAUAUUUUUUCCCUGUUCGACAUCAGGAAUAAUUCAAGAAGGACAAACUAGACGAGACAUUCUCGAGUUUCCUUGAAUCGGUCUUGGAGAGGCGUAUAUCAUAUAUGUAGUUUCACACACACAAACGCAUGUACAACUAUACAAAAGGAAAAAAAUUCUCUUUCGCACAAGAGAAUAGCGAGUGUUUUUUUUACAUGCAUGGCGGUGACGCCACCGACCGGGUGGCAACCCGGUUCUCUCUUCCUCUCCUUCAUUCAGCAUAGGUAUAAAAUAAAGAUAAACGGUUAAUCGCGUCGAUCGUCGAUUCUCAACAUUCAGCAGCCUCGAUUCAGCAAUCGGUGGUGGCAUGUGCAUGGAUCAUAAAGAAUGUCUGUAGGAAAAAGAGUCGGCUGGCGCCGCUACUUUGAAUGUUACUUUUAUGGCGCAUACCGCGCCGGUUCAGCGCCACAGAGACGUUAAUUGCCCCCGUGCGCAAAACGUACACGCGGUACGUCGUUCCUCACCCUCAUCCCCUCUUUCUCCGUCGACACGCGUGAGACCAACCACGGCUAUUGACCAAACUAUUUCCGGCUUAAUCGAAUAAUCGCGGCGGACGACACGACGUUCGUUCUGUCGCGCGUCGUUAAUAUUGAGAAAGAAUGUAAAUGUUAAUCGAGUGGUUCAUUACAAGCAUUGCUCACAAUCGUGCUUUCUAUCUUUGUUUUCAUUUUUUUGUCAAUAAAUCGUGCUUUUAUUUUAACUAACACAUUAUUUCAUAUUUUAGGAACGCGUUAUUAGAGGAUUAUUGAGGAAAAAAAAGAAAAAAAUGGAGAAUAAGCUCGUAAAGCUGUAUUCUCGCGAUCGAUCAAAAUUCUUUUCUCGAACGAUUUCUGACGUACUAUAUAUAAAUUGCGUUUUUCAGCCAAUAUACGCACGCGUCAGUAUACUCGUAAUUAAUGUCUAAUUUAUUUUACAACGUCGAAGAAGACUCGACGUCCGCAUAUUUUCGUGGCCGAUUGUGAUAAUCGACGAGAACCGAAUGAGAAUCGAUGCGACGGUUCAAUCGACGGGUUCAAGGGUCGCGAUACAUUUCCUCGUGACGAACGUAAAAGAAAGGCGCUGUUAAUUGCGCCGAGUUUCACCUUUCAUCAGCAGGGGCCAACGAGCCCCUCUUCUAUCAGACAGCAGUGACGACUGGGGAGGAAAAUAAAUUUGACGCGCGUGAUAUCGAGAUGUCUGUGCGAGCUCUCUGUGAGAGCAAAUGCGAGACAGAGAGUGGGAUUGCGAGAAAUGAUUCUGUAUUAUCGUCGUCGGUGGAAUCGACGCGGCGACAACAAGAAGGAGAAAGAGCGCUUUAUCAAAAGUGUCGUCAUAUAUACAUACAUACGUACAUAUACGAGUAUAAAAUAUAUAUGCGAGUCUUUUUCGUCGCAUCGUCAAUGAUCCACGCGACAGACGUUGCAAAGUAUCGCGAUCCAUUGUCUCAAUGGAGUCAAAAUGACGUCGGAUAAUGUGUAAAGAAUACACACUUUAUGUAAGUUGUUUAUGCAAAAAAAGUUAAAUUAUAAAAUACACCGAGACAAGUAUAAAAGUCUGAAAUUGCGGUAUAACGUGGAGUCGAAAUGGCAGGCAGAACUUCAUUACAAUUGCGUACUUUGCGUAAAUCGAGUGACUUUAGUACAAACGUCUCUAUCGUUGUUUAUAAGCAUUCCGGACAAAAGUAAAAGGUCGAAAAGUAAAUGGAACGAUCAAACGAAUAUAUUUUAUAUAAACGACAUAAAAGACUCCCGUUGUUCCUCUCCCCGCUGAGCGCGUCGUAUCCACAUGUCUACAAUCUCUCUCUAUCUCUCUCGCCUCAUCCGCCUCCAUCUAUUCUUAUUCCCUGCGCGCGUUCUGCCCGAUCAUUACAUAUGCUAAUAUUUACAUUUAGAUUGCACGGCUUAAUCGAAGUGACGCCAUGCGGUAAUAUAGCCGGCGCCAUGGCGCUAAACCCGUGGCGUCCGUCCUCGUCUCCUCUCGCUUCGCUCCGCUCCGCUUCUCUUCUCUUCUCUUCUCUUUGCCGAUUACAACUCGAGUUCCCUCUCGAGAGAACGCGAUCGGUCACUCUAAACCUUUCUUUUUUUCAUCCGUCGUCCAGUCUUUUUUUUUUCCUCGUUAUAUCUUUUCAUCAUCGAGCGAAAUUAUAUAUUCAUCCGUCCGUCGUCCUCUCUCUCUCUUUGUUCCUAUUUCUAAAUAAAGAAGAAAAUGUGUAUCGUCAUUUUUAUCCUCGAAAAUAGGCGAGAGAAUGCAAUAAUCGUGUAAACGGUGACACGAGAGAUUUAUAUAACGCGUCUCAAUUUGCGAUUUAUUCGGGAUUAUUUCGGAUAAACAAUUCACGUAGCAAUAAAUAUGCAACGCACGCGGCGAUAAUAUCGCUAUGCGAGAGCGAAGCGUUUCGUGCCAAUUUGCGCUCAUUACCGUUGCUGACGCACGCGAGGCUUAUCUGCUAACCUUAUCAGGGUGCGAGAUACGCUACUUUCACCGCAUCGGCGGCAUGGGCCAAAUUCUUCGAGAGCUCCCUCUCUCCCCUCUCCCUCCCCCACCAGGCACAACGCCGUCUAUUUCUCUUCGCGGAUACCUAAUCUGUAUCGCAGCUCGCAGCUAGUCGCAGUAGAAUGCGGAUGGAGUAAAUCGCAUAGUCGAGAUACUCGGAGCGCGAAAAAACCAAAUGAAAUAUUUAUGAUAAACCACGCGCGCGUUGAUCUCUACAGUUUCAUCCCUACAGUUUACAUCUCGCGGGAAUUCAUUUCCGUAUGUGUUUUUCACGCGAUUCGAGAGAAAGGGGGACGAAACUCUGAAAAUAAACGAGAAAAAAAGAAACUAAUCAGAUAUAU